rnacentral:rRNA from 1 species
ACGUAGGGGGCAAGCGUUGCUCGGAAUUACUGGGCGUAAAGGGUGUGUAGGUGGAUGAUUAAGUUAAGGAUGAAAUCCCGAGGCUCAACUUCGGAACUGCCCUUGAUACUGGUCAGCUUGAGGCUAGUAAAGGAGAGCGGAAUUCCCGGUGGAGCGGUGAAAUGCGUAGAUAUCGAGAGGAACACCAAUGGCGUAGGCAGUUCUCUGGGCUAGUCCUGACGCUGAGGCACGAAAGCUAGGGGAGCGAACAG